rnacentral:rRNA from 1 species
AGUCCACGCCCUAAACGAUGAACACUAGGUGUGGGGAGCGAUAGCUUUCCGUGCCGCAGCUAACGCAAUAAGUGUUCCACCUGGGGAGUACGGCCGCAAGGUUGAAACUCAAAGGAAUUGACGGGAGCCCGCACAAGCAGUGGAGUAUGUGGUUUAAUUCGACGCAACGCGAAAAACCUUACCAAGGAUUGACAUCCAGAGGAGACUGGGUAAUGCCGGUUGUGCCCUUCGGGGAACUCUGAGACAGGUGGUGCAUGGUUGUCGUCAGCUCGUGUCGUGAGAUGUUGGGUUAAGUCCCGCAACGAGCGCAACCCUUACUGUUAGUUGCUACGCAAGAGCACUCUGGCAGGACUGCCGUUGACAAAACGGAGGAAGGUGGGGACGACGUCAAAUCAUCAUGCCCCUUAUAUCUUGGGCUACACACGUACUACAAUGGCGUGGAACAAAGGGCAGCGACCCCGCGAGGGUGAGCGAAUCCCAGAAAACACGUCCCAGUUCGGACUGGAGGCUGCAACUCGCCUCCACGAAGUUGGAAUUGCUAGUAAUCGCGA